rnacentral:lncRNA from 1 species
UUUCCUAGUUUCUGUGUGGAUCUCAGUCUCACAAGACUAGAGAGAACUUUUAAGUGUUACAAUAUUUCAAGUCUCAACAAUAAUCAACUAAGUGUAAAAGACUCUAAUGCUAACUAUAUAUAGUCUAUUACAAAACAAAGUGAAUUGCCCAAAAGACCCUUAAUGAAAGGGGGCGCGUCUCUAGUGUAGAGUUGGCAGCUUUAGUGUGCAUUUUGGCCCUUCUCACGCCUCAAUGUGGCUCUUCCUGGGACGAUCCCUUG